rnacentral:tRNA from 1 species
GAGGGUAUAGCUCAGUGGUAGAGCACAUGUUUAGCAUGCAUGAGGUCCUGGGUUCAAUCUCCAGUACCUCCA